rnacentral:tRNA from 1 species
AGGGUGAUGGUCGGUGAAGCACGAUGAUCAGGCGCACCCGGCGGAUCUCCUACUCCGUCGGUCGCAGGUUCGAAUCCUGCCGGGCGCGCCA